rnacentral:rRNA from 1 species
GACAGAGGGUGCAAACGUUGUUCGGAAUUACUGGGCGUAAAGCGUGUGUAGGCGGCCGCGCAAGUCGGAUGUGAAAGCCCUGGGCUCAACUCAGGAAGUGCACCCGAUACUGCGUGGCUCGAGUACCGGAGAGGUUGGUGGAAUUCUCGGUGUAGAGGUGAAAUUCGUAGAUAUCGAGAGGAACACCUGUGGCGAAGGCGGCCAACUGGACGAGUAUUGACGCUGAGACACGAAAGCGUGGGGAGCAAACAGG